rnacentral:rRNA from 1 species
UGCCGCGUGUGUGAAGAAGGCCUUCGGGUUGUAAAGCACUUUCAGUCAGGAGGAAAGGUUAGUAGUUAAUACCUGCUAGCUGUGACGUUACUGACAGAAGAAGCACCGGCUAACUCCGUGCCAGCAGCCGCGGUAAUACGGAGGGUGCGAGCGUUAAUCGGAAUUACUGGGCGUAAAGCGUACGCAGGCGGUUUGUUAAGCGAGAUGUGAAAGCCCCGGGCUUAACCUGGGAACUGCAUUUCGAACUGGCAAACUAGAGUGUGAUAGAGGGUGGUAGAAUUUCAGGUGUAGCGGUGAAAUGCGUAGAGAUCUGAAGGAAUACCGAUGGCGAAGGCAGCCACCUGGGUCAACACUGACGCUCAUGUACGAAAGCGUGGGGAGCAAACAGGAUUAGAUACC